AUUGAACGCUAGCGGGAUGCUUUACACAUGCAAGUCGAACGGCAGCGCGGACUUCGGUCUGGCGGCGAGUGGCGAACGGGUGAGUAAUGUAUCGGAACGUGCCCAGUAGCGGGGGAUAACUACGCGAAAGCGUAGCUAAUACCGCAUACGCCCUACGGGGGAAAGCAGGGGAUCGUAAGACCUUGCACUAUUGGAGCGGCCGAUAUCGGAUUAGCUAGUUGGUGAGGUAACGGCUCACCAAGGCGACGAUCCGUAGCUGGUUUGAGAGGACGACCAGCCACACUGGGACUGAGACACGGCCCAGACUCCUACGGGAGGCAGCAGUAGGGAAUCUGCCGCAAUGGGCGAAAGCUUGACGGAGCAACGCCGCGUGAGUGAUGAAGGUCUUCGGAUCGUAAAACUCUGUUAUUAGGGAAGAACAAAUGUGUAAGUAACUAUGCACGUCUGGACGGUACCUAAUCAGAAAGCCACGGCUAACUACGU
rnacentral:rRNA from 1 species